UCCAGAGUGCUUCCCUCCCUGCAGCGUUACCCCUGGAGCUGAGUUGUUCUUCUCUGUUGAGAGUGGGCAGAAGCUGACACAGCAGAGAACGGCUGUAGAGUUCUCCCUGGAUAGAGAGUAGGAGGAGCCGGAUGGAGGCGGCUGGGGAGGCUCUGGGUGGGAGUUGUUGCUGCCGGUGGGAGUGAGGCGUUUUCUGCUGCAAGAUGUGGAACUGCCAGAUUCCUAAUCAGACCAACACCUUCAGGAUUUGUUUGUGACCUCCAGAGGUUGUUCGGUUGUUCCAUUACCAGAGCUUGCUGCAGGGCCUGGCUGUGCCCCUUCUGCUGCCAUUUCAGCUCUUUCCACUGCACGGCACCAGAACAAUUGGAAGGCAUAACCGGGCACACGUGAAAGCGUGACUUCAGUAGCUCCGCGUUGGCAGAGGCACAAAGCGCUUUUGCUCCGCCGCCCCUCUGCCCCGAGCUGCAGCGACACUACAGGCGAAAGCAGGGACGGGCCCUUCUGCUGCGUGAGGUCAGGAGAGACUGCAGUCUGCUUAAAGCUGGGGAGCUGGAUUUCGAACCUUUCUCGCGCUCCGCGGCGCGUUGCGAGCUGUGCGUGCAGGCGGCCGCGUCUCCUGUAGGCGGCAGCGGUGAUCGCGGUGCGGGCGGGCGCUGCUCCGUGACUCCGGGCCGGGCCCCGCCGGCACGUGGCACAGCGACAGCGCUUCGGAUUUGGAUCCCUAGUGCUUGACUCGCGAUCCCUCGUAAUUUUGGAUGUGCUGCUUUUCUGCACGGGUUCGUGGAGUUGGAGUAAGAUCGUGCUUCGGGACGGUGCAGCACAUAGGAACAUAGAAACAUGGGAACAUAGGAACGUGCUCACGAGGCUGCCACUGGCCCUGAGCAUAUUCACCAGUCUUGAGAGUUGCUGUGCCACAGCUGGAUGCUCAUCUGUCCAAGAACCAAGUAUUUCUCUGCCUUUCCACAGCCUGCAAUGCAGUCAGGAAGCAAAGAAUACUAAGGGAUGUUAGCAGCUGCCAAACUGCCAGAGUUACCACAAGGCCUGACGACACGCUGCUGCUGGGCCAGGCAGGACGGGACUGUGGGCUUGUCUGCUCUGCUGGAAAACAAGCAGCCAGGAAUGGGCAAGCACAAGCAACCUGCAAAGCUUGGUGACCACAUUUCUUUGGUGCCUGCUGUCCAGCUGGAAAAGAGGUGGAACUUCAGAAUGUGCAGCCCUGAGAACCGCAGAGGGAGAUGGGAGCAGCACAGUGGAAGGCAGCUGUAAAUCCCCACAGAAGAAUCGGGUGGGAUUCUCAUUUGUUAUUCUAUGUGGUAAUGUAUUAAUUCCUUCACUAAACUCUUCUGAUUAUUUUUAUUACCCUUCUGAUGUCACUCUGAAUAUUGCUGUUAUCCUUAUAAAUACACAAACCCCUUUCUGCAGAAUUUUAGCCAUCCAACCAACAUGCCCUGUGACCUUGAAGUCAGUACACUCAAUUCGUCAGUCGAAUUGAAAAUAAUUGAGCUUUGGAUGAGAAGUUCACUAUGUAGCUCUAAGGCAAAUACAUUUGAUAUGGUUCAAGGUGUAAGUAUGUGCGCAUAAAAUGAAUAUCAUUCUAAUGGGAUUUGUAUUUUCGUAGAUGGAAGUGGACAAUUUUGACAAUGCAUCUCCAUGCAAAAAAAAAGGUGUGUUUACAAAGGCAAGUGUCAGGUUAAAGACACAAAUGCUGUAUCAUACAGAGGCUUUCAUUAAAGAGAGGAAUUACUUGAAGUAGAUGUGGGCAAAGCGUACCUCUGUGUUUAAUUCACAAUAGGCAUACACAGAAGCCCACGCUUCGUCUUGCAAACCUUGCAAAGGUUUGUCCAGGCAGAAAGAGCCCUGCAGAUGCCCCAGGCCUGGCCAGGAGCACCCAGCUCUGCCGGCAGCAACCUGGCCUGCUGCUGCUGACGGAGCUCAUCUGCGUGGUGAGCUGCAGGGCAGCCGCAGUGCGGUAGGUACUGGAGACACUGCUCUGAGGGAAGCACCUGCAAAGCCACCGCUGCACCGCGUGGGUCUGCUGGGGCAGGAGUGGCAGCAGACAGGAGGGAAUGCAACAUGGCCCCCAGCCACAGUGUUUGAAGACCUGGAAACAGGAAUGCAUCCAUUCUCCUCCGGUUUAAUACAGAAGCUCCUGAUCCUCCUCAAGAAUACCAGCUGUGAGUUGAUGUUAGUGUCGAUGAAUAGCAAAUACUCCCCUGACAUCAAUCUGGAUCACGUUUCAUUGCAGAAGGAUUGUCUUCAAAUAGGCUGCUGCUGCUAUGUUUAGGACCUAUUUUCCAUGCUCAAUGAUAGUGUCUGCUUCUUUCCAGAGCUACAUCAGCCCAGUGUCCUGGCUGGCUUUGGGCCCAGUCCCAUAAGUCGCACUCCCGUGAGUAAGCCUUAUCCAUGAAUACAGUGAGUCUCAUGUCAUGACAAAAAGCUUUAAUAAAAUGCUGUUCUGUGAGCACAAUGAAAAGCCAAUCCAAUCAGUACCCAGAAUCAGUACACCAGGCCCUAACACCCCUAACGUGAGCACACAUGUUGGGUAACCAACAUGAAGAAGCCGAUUCUGAAGACCUACCUAGAUAAUAUAUUUAUUCUUUUCAAUACAUAAAUCCUGAACAGGGCUCUGGAAAUUGGAAUUGUGAAAAUAAUUAUGGUGAUGAUAAUGAUAAAUUUAAAAUGCUUUCCAGACCAGAAGCUGAGGAAAUCUCUAGAGAGGUCUUUUGGUGGAGUUCAUAAAUCUUAACACCAUUUUUAAUUAAGUAUUAGUUAUUUCAUAAUCUACAUUGCUUACUUAGCAACUGCUUUGGUACUGAGUAUGCCAUCCUGGCUACCUACGUUUUUGCCGUAGGCCAGGAUCUCAGAACUCCAUUUGUAUCAUCUGUCAUCCCCAAUCUGCCUACAUUGCUAUUCUAUAGCUGCAGAUCUCAAGAUGAUGAGCAAUGCUGGAUAUUCAUCAACCUUAUUUAAAAAAUGGAGUAACUAUGAUGUAAUGAGAUUAAGAAAUUUGGUUGAUGCCAUUGAGCGCAUUAGCAUCCAUACAAAGAUUAGAAGACAUUUCCCUAUUCCUGGCACUGCUCGUAACCCCCCGGAUAUGAGGGCCCGAGCCACUUCUUACUGCCAUUUGCUGUUUCAGCAAACUGGGGCACUGAAGGAGGCAUUAAUUCACUCUUCAGGGGUUUUAAGAAACUUUUAUAUGACUGAAAGAGGACUUCAGAUGCCUCGAAGAAGCGAGAAUGCUGGCACUAGCAUGGCACUCCAGGGACUGAAACUCAGUCUGCAAAAGCUCAUACGAAUUCAAAAGAAGGAGAAUUGUAUUUAUGGAGAACUGAUGCUCUGCAUAUAGAAGUGUGUGUUUUGGUAGACACUGUGAGCUUCAGGAAGCCAUUGAGGGGAAUAAAAUACAAAUAUACAGCCAUGAUAUUUUAUGAUAUUUCCUUUCUUAGGCCUUUUUGGAGGUUAUCACAUCUUUGGUGGGUAUUUGGCAUAGGGUUAAGUGAACUCAUGAGGAAAAUGUAAAGGGAGGAAAUUGAAGCAACUGAUUAUGCAGAUUCUGUAAUUUUCAUAAUUAUCCACUGGGGACUUCUCAGGUCCUUUGUGUUACAGAAGUCAGGUUUUGCAGUCAGAAUGUACACAGUCUCUAUGACUUCCAUGUGAUAGUGCAGUUGUUCCAGACAGAUAUCUAUUCAGUCAAGAGCAAAAAAUGAUGUUAGCUGUAUUCAGUGAAUUUGGAAGUACCGUUGACAUCAAAGUUCUUUGCCUCUGGUGGGUUUUUUUAAGCACCCAUACAAAGCACUAUUUUAAAUUUUUAAGAAACUCAAAUAUAAGAUAUGAAGGCAAAUGCUGCUACAUUAUUCUAUUCUUUUAGAAUUUUUGAACAUAAGCUUACAGUUCUAACACAUCAUUAACGUCCAUGCCUUCCAUGAUGUUCUGGAACUUUCUCUUUGCAACACAGCAUGGAAAAGGCUGAGGAUAAGUGGUUGCAAGUUUACAGAUUGUAAGAGAUGUGAUGUGAGCUCGUAAUUCAGGUUCUGUGUCAUCUGUGGGAAAAACCAUAGAAUGCUCAUCGCUACUCCUCGCACACACCCAGAUGUGGUAUCAGAUUCUGAUCUCUUUAAUCAUUAAAACUUUUCAUUAUUAUUUGAAUCAGCGCGCUGUCUGGAGAGAUUCUUGCAGAGCAGAAUGUUACUUUGCUGUGUGUUCCCACCUCCUGCUCUGCACUGGUAAAUGUCUGAAAGACGAGUUAUUAUGUGAUAUUCCGUGUAAAUCUGACUUCAAAAGCAGAUGAAGGAUUGUCUUGCAGUCACGCUCCUACCACCAGCACUCUGUCAUAAAGCUUUUUCUUUGACAGCCAAGUGGGCAAGUACUCGUAACUGCUGCCCAGUGGAGCUCCCCUGAGUUGGGCUGGGGGUCAGUGGGGACAGCGAGGGUGUGGUUUUUCAUUCUUGUAUUUCUGCAAGAUGAUUUUGAAAGGUGUUGUCUAACAAUUUACAGAUCACAGACAGGGUUAGAGGGUUCCUACUUGUGUGAAACUCUAUGAUUCAUGGAAAGAUGCAAUACGCCUUACACGUUCUACAGGAUGAAGUCAUUAGAACCCAUCACAUCAUUUUAGCAUCUGAUAGCAUUAGCUUUCAAAACGUGUGCUUAGAUUAGCUUGCAGAAAGUGUAAACUCAUAGGCUUCUGUGGCAACUCUACUGUCUGAUGAGAAAAGUGGGAGCUCGGUGCAGAAGCAUUGGACUGCAUCACAGGGAGCGUGGCCAGCAGGUCGAGGAGGUGAUCCUGCCCUCUGCUCUGUGCUGUGGGGCCUCACCUGGAGCACUUCAUCCAGAUGUGGAGACCUCAGGGCAAGAGAGACACAGAGCUGUUAGAGUGUGUCUGGAGGAGGGCCACAAAAAUGAUGUCAGGGAUGGAACACCUCUCCUGCCCUGGGGACAGGCUGAGAGCUGGGGCUGUGCAGAAUGGAGAGGGGAAGGCGCUGGGGAGACCUGAGAGCAGCCUGUCAGUACCUAAAGGAGCUGUAAGACAAAGGGGACAGACUCAUUAACAGGAUGUGUUGUGACAGGACAAGGGGAAAUGGUUUCAAACUGAAGAAGGGCAGAUUUAGGCUGGAUAUAAGGAAGAAGUUUUUUUACAAAUGGGUGGUGGGGCACUGGCACAGGUUGCUCAGAGGUGAGUGGUUGUCCCAUCCCUGCAGACAGCCAAGACAGCCUGCAUGGGGCUCUGAGCACCUGAUGGAGCAGCGGGUCCCCUUUCACUGCAGAAGAGUUGAA